GGCAGCAGUGGGGAAUAUUGCACAAUGGGCGCAAGCCUGAUCCAGCCAUGCCGCGUGAGUGAUGAAGGCCCUAGGGUUGUAAAGCUCUUUCAACGGUGAAGAUAAUGACGGUAACCGUAGAAGAAGCCCCGGCUAACUUCGUGCCAGCAGCCGCG
rnacentral:rRNA from 1 species